AGCGAACGCUGGCGGCAGGCCUAACACAUGCAAGUCGAACGACCUCUUCGUACUUAGUUGCGGACGGGGGGGUAACACGUGGGAACGUGCCUUUAGGUUCCGAAUACUUCAGUUAAACUUGUGCUAAUACCGAAUGUGCUAUUCGGGGGAAGGAUUUAUCGCCUUUUGGGCGGCCCGCGUCUGUUUAGCUAGUUGGUGAUGUAAAGGCUGACCAAGGCGACGAUCAGUGGCUGGUCUGAGACGAUGAUCAGCCACGUUGGGACUGAGACACGGACCAAAAUCCUAGGGGAGGGAGCGGUGGGGAAUCUUGCGCAAUGGGCGAAAGCCUGACACAGCCACGCGGGGUGAAUGAUGAAGGUGUUAGGAUUGUAAAAUUCUUUCAGAGGGGACGAUAAUGACGGUAACCGGAGAAGAAGCCCCGGCUAACUUCGUG
rnacentral:rRNA from 1 species